UAUCAAAACUUCGGUUUGAGAAUACAUCA
rnacentral:piRNA from 1 species